rnacentral:lncRNA from 1 species
AGGAGAUGCACGAGAGUGACAAGAACAACCUGUUAUACUCUAUAGGAAAGCUGGGUCCUGGGAAGCAUAGGACAAGGGCCACCUAUAACCACAGCCUCAGCGUUUGUGUGCCCCUGGGGACCCGGCAGACGAGGAUUUCCUCUGCGCUUCUGCUCCUGGCCUGCUGUGGGGCUGUAGGAAGUCAUUUUGCAGCUGUCUGCCUCAGUUUCCCCCACACGCAGACUCUUGAUCCCCGCGCGAGGGAGGGAGGCAGCCAGCGCCGGUGCCUUGCUGCACAGCCCUGCCGAGAUCCCCACCAGUGCUUCCCCCAGCGAAUCCCCCCCGAGGCAAGCAGCAAGAAAAGUCCCCACCACCUGCAUUUUUGGGGCCAGGUAGGUGGGAGGAGGGGAUGUUCCUCCUCAGGCUCAGAGGACUCAUGAAAGCAAAGUAUUCAGGGCAUAAAGGGGGGAAAAUGUUCAAACAGCUCUGUUUGCCUUUCCUGAAAAUGAGGAGAUUCCUUCUUUUGUGUCUCGAAAAACAG